UUUAAGCAUAUCACUCAGUGGAGGAAUCCCAAGCAACUGCGAUUGCUUCAGUAACGGCGAGUGAACUGGCAAAGCACAUGGCUCAACCCGAAGGAGACCAUAUCCCCCGUCACUGCCUCGGCAGGUGUGCGGUCGGCUACUGCGGGUCUCAGAGGCUGUGGGUUCUGGAUCGGUCGGCAUGCCCGUGGGCCGGUUGUGAUGCCUGGAAUGGCCCUGGAAUGGCUUACAACAGAGGGAUACUGUCCCGUACACCUUGCAGUGUGUCAUGACCGCCCAUGGUAUGUCCGGCCGAGUCCCCGAGUAGAGCGGCUUGGGACUGCAGUUUGAAGUGCGGGGUGUAUCCCCUGCAAGGAGCAAUACCACCGUGGGACCGAUAGUGCACAAGUAGAGUGAUUGAAGGAUGCAAAGAACUUUGCAAAGAGGGUUAAAAGUCCCUGAAGCCUCGGCAGGAACGGCGGUGUGCGGUGCUGUGAUCAAUGUGAACCAAGCGGCCUUGGGCCAGCCCGGUGCUGGCCACUGAGCCCUCUCCCUCGGGAACGGAUGCAGUCGUGGCAGUCACGUGGUGGCAAGCAAGCCUGUCAGGGCCUGAGGCUAUGUCUGAGGAAUGCUGUGCAGCUGUGGGGAACCCGUGUCACCCCUCUCGGGGCAAGUUGAGUUUGCAAGGAACGGUUGAAUGCGGUGCUGGAACCUGGUGUGUCUCCGGGCAUGCCAGUCGCUGUUGCCCAGUCACGGCCGGGGCUGUUGUUGGUACGGGGACUGCACCACCCGUUGGUGGCCCUCUGCCUCCACCGGCCCUCCGGAUGGUGCACAGUGCAGAUCAAGGCAGCCGAGCUUGGUGCAGCAGUGCCGCUCUCUGCCCGUCUUGAAACACGGACCAAGGAGUCUAUGGAGCUUGCAGGUUGGCUGGUGCAAUCAUGGAAAACCGGCAAGGCCCGGUGAAAGCAAUGUCACAGACCAGACGGAGUGCAUGCCGAUGAAUGCGGGACAAGUCUGCAAUGCUGAUGGCUAUCUGUAGUGUUCCCUCUUCGGAGAGGACUGUGAUGGUGACCCUCUGCUGUGGCCAAGUCCUUGCUGUCGAAUGCACCUCUGCAUGGGCCACCGGCCCUGAUGUCCCUUGGACUGGGUUUUGAGUGAAUGCAAGUUCCAUGGGACCCGAAAGGUGGUGAACUAUACCGUUCCACGACGAAGCCAUGGGAAACUGUGGUGGAGGUCGGUCGCUGUUCUGACGUGCAAAUUGUGUAGCCUGAGUGCGGCAUAGGGGUGAAAGGCCAAUCGAGCCACCUAGUAGCUGGUUUCCCUCGAAGUUUCCCUCAGGAUAGCUGGGCUCGAAAUGCAACCCUGCCGAGUGGUUCCGUCCGGUAAAGCAACGCAUGAGAGGCAUCUGCGGGGAGUCCUUGCUCCUCGACCUAUUCUCGAACUGUGAAUGGGCGUGGCAAACCCAUACAAAGGCAUGCUUCUUCAACUGUGCUGGAGCCCGGGUCAACCGGUCCUCCUGGUCCUUCUGAGCGUGUUCGAAGGUGGCAGAGCUACAGUGAAGGGACACAGCUUGGCAAUCCUUCCUGGCUGGGUGUGUCUCAACCGUGGAGCCACCCGUCUGUGCUGUGUGACCACUGUGGAACCCUUGCCCUUGGGUGAUCGAUGCAGAGGGAGUGCUGCUGCUGCUGUGGUGAACAAGUGUGCCUAUGUGGGCCAAGAUUGGUAAGCAGUGCUGGCGAUGCGGGGUGCUCCGAGAGUGGACUUACAGAUCCCGAGUGCUGGCUCAUACUCAGAUCCCACAAAGGGUGUCGCUUGCUAUGGAUAGCAGGUCGGUGGCCAUGAAGGUUGGAACCCGCUAAGGAAUGUGUAACAACUCACCUGCCGAAGUGUGCAGUCCCGAAAAUGGAUGGUGCCCAAGUCAGUGAAGCUGAAUUUGCCUUACAGUCUGCCGCCACUGUGGCAGCACUGAGCAGAGCAUUGUUGUGUAGAAAGGACAUGGGAGCUUGCAGUGCCAGUCAGGGGCAACCCUGGCCGGAGUGGCUUCUAGCGCAGAUCUUGGUUGUAGUAGCAAGUACUCCAUCUGACGAGAGGCGGAAACCCCGCCGUGUGUGGUUGAGGACUGGAGUGGAGCAGGUUUCCGCACCAAACAGCCGUUGAAUGCGGGUCAACCGACCGUGAGCCAAGUGGUAAGUCACCGAACAACCAAAGCCGCCGUUCUUCCCGGGGACGGCCCUGUGGCAAAGCUUGCCGCAGCCCCGGGACUUGGUCUGGUGGGAGUGGCAAACAGGCAAGCAUGGGCAACAUUCUGCUGUGACGGGCCUGGAGCCUCAUCUGAAGGGUGGCGACGCCAAGUGAUCGGAGCAAGCAGGCUGCGGGGCAGUGCACCCCCUGGGGAGUUCUCGUUUCCUCCUGAUGCAGACUCAUGUGGACUAUCGAUUGGCAUGACAGAUGGUGACCUAUGUCCUCCGUUCAGCAAGACAGUGCACCUUGUGUGUGCUGAUGGUGUGCUUGACUCGGAACACUGGUCCCUUCUGCAGGGAAGACUGCUCUCUCUGGUGGACACUGGCUCCACUGAACCGCCUGUGGGACACCGUGCUCCUGGUCCCUUGUCCCCGUACUGAAUCACCGCAGCCGGUCUCCCCGGCUAGACGCCGCUGGUCGAACGGAUUGAAUGCAGCUAAGGGAAGUCGGCAAACUAGCCGUGUACCUUCGGAAGAUGCGGUGGCUCCAGAGGCCAAGUCACUGAGUCUCUCUGUGGACGGAUGUUUCAACCGGGGAUGGCUGCCCCUUCUGGUGUUCUCAUCGGGCCCUGGUCAGGGGAAACCAGCUGCCCUCAGUGUGCUCUGUGUUGCGGGGAGGGACUGUCUUGCCUUCGGGCGGGGCGGCCCGCCUCAGUGUCUGCCAAGUGGCCCACAUGGAACUGUUGCUGUGCAGGGGAAUCUGACUGUUUAAUUGAAACCCAGCUUUGUGACGGGACCAGCUGGCUGCUCCCAUGAGGUGACUUCUGCCCAGUGCUCUGAUUGUCAAUGCAAAGAGAUUUAGCCAAGCGCGGGUAAACGGCGGGAGUAACUAUGACUCUCUUAAGGUAGCCAAAUGCCUCGUCAACCAAUUAUUGACGCGCAUGAAUGGAUCAACGAGAUUCCUGCUGUCCCUAGGUGCUGUCCGGUGAACCAACAGCCAAGGGAACGGGCUUGGAUGUGUCACCGGAAA
rnacentral:rRNA from 1 species